CCUACGGGGUGCAGCAGUGGGGAAUAUUGGACAAUGGGCGAAAGCCUGAUCCAGCCAUGCCGCGUGUGUGAAGAAGGCCUUCGGGUUGUAAAGCACUUUCAGUGGGGAAGAAAGCCUUGGGGCUAAUACCCUCGAGGAAGGACAUCACCCACAGAAGAAGCACCGGCUAACUCCGUGCCAGCAGCCGCGGUAAUACGGAGGGUGCGAGCGUUAAUCGGAAUUACUGGGCGUAAAGCGCGCGUAGGCGGUCUGAUAAGCCGGUUGUGAAAGCCCCGGGCUCAACCUGGGAACGGCAUCCGGAACUGUCAGGCUAGAGUGCAGGAGAGGAAGGUAGAAUUCCCGGUGUAGCGGUGAAAUGCGUAGAGAUCGGGAGGAAUACCAGUGGCGAAGGCGGCCUUCUGGACUGACACUGACGCUGAGGUGCGAAAGCGUGGGUAGCAAACAGGAUUAGAUACCGCGGUAGUC
rnacentral:rRNA from 1 species